rnacentral:rRNA from 1 species
GAAGUCGAUCGGUCCACAAUGGGACUGAAGACCACGGCCCAGAACUCUACGGGAAGCAGCAGUGGGGAAUAUGCACAAUGGGCGAAAGCUGAUGCAGCGACGCCGCGUGAGGGAUAACGGCUUCGGGUUGUAAACCUCUUUCAGCAGGGAAGAAGGCUUUCGGGUGACGGUACCUGCAGAAGAAGCACCGGCUAACUACGUGCCAGCAGCCGCGGUAAUACGUAGGGUGCGAGCGUUGUCCGGAAUUAUUGGGCGUAAAGAGCUCGUAGGCGGCUUGUCACGUCGGUUGUGAAAGCCCGGGGCUUAACCCCGGGUCUGCAGUCGAUACGGGCAGGCUAGAGUUCGGUAGGGGAGAUCGGAAUUCCUGGUGUAGCGGUGAAAUGCGCAGAUAUCAGGAGGAACACCGGUGGCGAAGGCGGAUCUCUGGGCCGAUACUGACGCUGAGGAGCGAAAGCGUGGGGAGCGAAACAGGAUUAGAUACCCUGGUAGUCCACGCCGUAAACGGUGGGAACUAGGUGUGGGCGACAUUCCACGUCGUCCGUGCCGCAGCUAACGCAUUAAGUUCCCCGCCUGGGGAGUACGGCCGCAAGGCUAAAACUCAAAGGAAUUGACGGGGGCCCGCACAAGCGGCGGAGCAUGUGGCUUAAUUCGACGCAACGCGAAGAACCUUACCAAGGCUUGACAUACACCGGAAAACCGUGGAGACACGGUCCCCCUUGUGGUCGGUGUACAGGUGGUGCAUGGCUGUCGUCAGCUCGUGUCGUGAGAUGUUGGGUUAAGUCCCGCAACGAGCGCAACCCUUAUCCUGUGUUGCCAGCACGCCCUUCGGGGUGGUGGGGACUCACGGGAGACUGCCGGGGUCAACUCGGAGGAAGGUGGGGACGACGUCAAGUCAUCAUGCCCCUUAUGUCUUGGGCUGCACACGUGCUACAAUGGCCGGUACAAUGAGCUGCGAUACCGUGAGGUGGAGCGAAUCUCAAAAAGCCGGUCUCAGUUCGGAUUGGGGUCUGCAACUCGACCCCAUGAAGUUGGAGUCGCUAGUAAUCGUAGAUCAGCAUUGCUACGGUGAAUACGUUCCCGGGCCUUGUACACACCGCCCGUCACGUCACGAAAGUCGGUAACACCCGAAGCCGGUGGCCUAACCCCUUGUGGGAGGGAGCCUUUCGAAAGGGGGGAACGCCCGUCC